rnacentral:rRNA from 1 species
GAUGAGCGCUGGCGGCGUGCCUAAUACAUGCAAGUCGAGCGAACAGACGAGGAGCUUGCUCCUCUGACGUUAGCGGCGGACGGGUGAGUAACACGUGGAUAACCUACCUAUAAGACUGGGAUAACUUCGGGAAACCGGAGCUAAUACCGGAUAAUAUAUUGAACCGCAUGGUUCAAUAGUUAAAGAAGGUUUUGCUGUCACUUAUAGAUGGAUCCGCGCCGCAUUAGCUAGUUGGUAAGGUAACGGCUUACCAAGGCAACGAUGCGUAGCCGACCUGAGAGGGUGAUCGGCCACACUGGAACUGAGACACGGUCCAGACUCCUACGGGAGGCAGCAGUAGGGAAUCUUCCGCAAUGGGCGAAAGCUUGACGGAGCAACGCCGCGUGAGUGAUGAAGGUCUUCGGAUCGUAAAACUCUGUUAUUAGGGAAGAACAAAUGUGUAAGUAACUAUGCACGUCUUGACGGUACCUAAUCAGAAAGCCACGGCUAACUACGUG